UCCGUAGGGGUAACCUGCGGAGGGAUCAUUACCGAGUGAGGGCGCGAGCCCGACCUCCAACCCCAUGUCUCCCAAACCAUGUUGCCUCGGGGGCGACCCGGCCGCGCGCCGGGGCCCCCCGCGGACCCCUCAACUCUGCAUCUGUGCGUCUGAGUAACGAAAUAAAUCAAUCAAAACUUUCAACAACGGAUCUCUUGGUUCUGGCAUCGAUGAAGAACGCAGCGAAAUGCGAUAAGUAAUGUGAAUUGCAGAAUUCAGUGAAUCAUCGAAUCUUUGAACGCACAUUGCGCCCUCUGGUAUUCCGGAGGGCAUGCCUGUUCGAGCGUCAUUACACCACUCCAGCCUCGCUGGGUAUUGGGCGCCGCGGCCUCCGCGCGCCUCGAAGUCUCCGGCCGAGCCGACCGUCUCCAAGCGUUGUGGCACAACUGUUUCGCUUCUGGGACCGGUCCGGCGCCGCGCCGCUAAACCCUUUCACCAAAGGUUGACCUCGGAUCAGGUAGGGAUACCCGCUGAACUUAAGCAUAUCAAUAAGCGGAGGA
rnacentral:rRNA from 1 species